AUUGAACGCUGGCGGCAUGCUUUACACAUGCAAGUCGAACGGUAACACGCCGCAAGGUUCUGACUAGUGGCGGACGGUUGAGUAAGGCAUCGGAACGUACACAGUCGUGCUUGUUAACUGGUCGAAAGAUUAGCUAAUUCCCCAUACGACCGAAUAAGACAAGCGGGUGAACGCAAGGCAUCUUCCGACUUGACCGGCCGAUGUCAGCUUAGGUAGUUGGUGGGGUAAAGGCUCACCAAGCCAACGAUCUGUAGCUGGUCUGAGAGGACGACCAGCCACACUGGAACUGAGACACGGUCCAGACUCCUACGGGAGGCAGCAGUGGGGAAUUUUGGACAAUGGGCGCAAGCCUGAUCCAGCAAUGCCGCGUGCAUGAAGAAGGCCUUCGGGUUGUAAAGUGCUUUUGUACGGAACGAAAAGCCUCUGGUUAAUACCCGGCGAUAAUGACGGUACCCUAAGAAUAAGCACCGGCUAACUACGUG
rnacentral:rRNA from 1 species